UGGCUCGGUUGGUAGAGCAUGGUGUCUUCAACACCAGGCUCGUGGGUUCAAUUCCCGC
rnacentral:tRNA from 1 species